GAAAAGUUUAAUUAAAGCUUAAAAGUUAAGUAGAUCAAUGGUUCAUACACAAUAUUUUGUUUAAAUUUUGUUUAUGUGGUGAUUUGUAUUAAAUAAUCUAUGUUUAGAUUUUUUAGCAAUUGGUUAUAUUUUUAACAAAGCUUGUGCCAGCAGUUGCGGUUAUACGAGCAAUGAGAUUUAACUUUUAUUGGUUAAUAAUUGUUUGUUAUUUUAGUGAAAUUUUUAUUAAAUUUGUUAGGUGAAAUUUUAAAAUUUAUAAAGAUUUUAAUUUUUAUGUUUAGAGUUUUAUUAAGUUUUUGGUUAAACUAGGAUUAGAUACCCUAUUAUUUUAAAUGUAAAUUGUUUUCCAAAUUAUUAGUAGUUAUGUUCUUUAAAAUUAAAGGAUUUGGCGGUAUUUUAGUCUUUUCAGAGGAACCUGUUCUGUAAUCGAUAGUCCACGAUUAAAUUUACUUAGUUAAUAUUUAUUUACAUAUCGUCGUAGUUGGACUUCUUUUUAGAGUUAAAAUGUUCAAAUUUUUUAAUAAAAUUAAAAAUCAGAUCAAGAUGUAGUUAUAAUUAAGAAGAAAUGGGUUACAAUAAAGUUAUUUAAAUGGAUAAUAAUUUGGAUUAAUUAUUUGAAGGUGGAUUUGAAAGUAAUAUUAUUUAUAUAAUUAAUGUGGUAUAGCUCUAAGGUAAGCACAUAUCGCCCGUCGUUCUCAAUUAAAUUGAGACAAGUCGUAACAUAGUAGGCUUACUGGAAAGUGUGCCUAGUAUU
rnacentral:ncRNA from 1 species